rnacentral:rRNA from 1 species
AUGAAUCCAAAAUUCGAGGUCAUAAAAGUGGUCCUCCUGAAAAGUUACGAUGGCUUACCCUAUUACCUCAAGUCUUGUUUUCUGUACCUGUCCAUCUUCCCUGAAGAUCUCAAUGUUAGCCGGAGACGUUUGGUGUGCCGAUGGAUCGCAGAAGGUUACUCGUGGGAUAGAUCGGUAGCCGAUAGAUACUUCACAGAACUCAUUGAGAGAAGCAUGAUUUUACCAACUAAACAGUCAAUUCUUAGCAGGAAAGGAUUCGAUUCGUGCCAGCUACAUGAUCUAAUCCGUGAUCUCAGCAUUGCAAAGUCAAUGGAGGAAAAUCUUGUCUUUAGGUUGGAGGAAGGAUGUAACUCAAAUGCUCGAGGCACAGUGCGUCACCUUUCCAUAAGCAGCAAUUGGGAGGGAGAUGAGCAUGAGUUGGAGAACACUGUGGAGUUGUCCCAUAUACGUUCAUUGACGGUAUUUGGCAAUUGGAGGCCAUUUUACAUAUCUGACAAGAUGAGGUUGCUUCGGGUGCUGGACUUAGAAUCAAGGGAAGGUCUAGCUGAUCAUCGCCUUGAGCACAUUGGAAAUCAUAUCCAUCUGAGAUACCUUUCUCUAAGACGUUGUGAAGGCAUCUUUUACCUCCCAGAUUCGGUGGGUAACCUGAGACAACUUGAGACACUAGAUAUCAAAUUUACAGGGAUAUUUAUGCUUCCCAAAAGUAUCACCAAGCUUAGUAAGCUACGUUUUCUGCAUGCUGGAAAUGUAGAAGGUUAUCCAGAAGAAUCGUCGGCACUAUCAUGUUGCAUACAUACCCCCAUGCACUUUAGUUGGCGACGUGGUGCAUGUGCUCCUUACAUGUGGUACAUGUUGGGUGAUGUACAAGCUUUUUCUCUGAAGGUGCCAAGAGGGAUAGGGAAACUGAAAACCCUGCAGGCGCUGGGGUGCUUGGACCUUGAAAGGGGAAAUGCCGUCAUAAAGGAGAUAAAAGGUCUCACAAGCCUACGCAAGUUAGGAGUACAGUUUGGCAUCACCACAGAAAAUGUGUCGGAAUUCUGUUCGGCCAUUUCCUGUCUGAGACACCUCGAGUCCUUGUCACUGCAGUCACGAGGAGAAAAUUUGUAUGAUUACUUGCAGGGAAUGUCCUCGCCUACGGAAAACCUCCAGAGCCUCAAGCUAUGCGGUUACGUGAAACAACUGCCGGAAUGGGUCAAAGGGCACCGGAAUCUCGUAAAGCUCAAACUACAAUACACCAAUUUGUCAAGCAACUGUGAAACCAUGCAUGUGCUUGGGAACCUACCAAACCUAUCCAUUCUGCUUUUGGAGGAUGAAGCAUUCCAGAUGGAAGGGCCUAUCACUUUCCAGAGUGGCCUUUUCAGAAGCCUCAUGGUACUCGAGUUGUAUUACAUGUCAAUGGAAAUUGUGUCACUAAAGUUUGAGGAAGCAUCAAUGCCAAAACUUGAGGUGCUGAGGCUGGAACUUAUGAAUUGUACAGCUGGCUUGGUUGGGCUGGAAUUUCUCCCAAGCAUCAAGGAAGUGCGGCUCUUUAUCGGUAUUUACCUAGAUGGUAGUAUAACAGAAGAAUAG